rnacentral:sRNA from 1 species
AUGUACCUACUUAGACCCCGGCUUCUCCGCGCCGUCCGCACCUACCUGACGACUGCUCGCUACGUUUUGUUAGCC